UUCUGAUGCUGAGAAGGAUGCAAAGCCCAGGAGUAGCCUUCCAAGGUUUGGUGCUGAGAAUCUGCCAGGUGAGACACAACACCAGAGGGGUCGAUGAAUGUAGUGCUGCUGAGGCUCAGAUCUUGCUAAUACUGCCUCACAGAGCUGCCGUGCUACAAUGGCAAUUGGCCGCACCCAGAAGUCACUUUAUAAGGGUGUUACUUGCAAGCGCGGGGUUGCCAUGAGAUGUGCCCUCCCCGCCUGCCGCCGUUCCAUGAAGCAGCAGUGGUGGCUCCAUCUCCUGGGUUUGCCUGCUGCUUCUUCACUAUAAAUAAGUCAAAAUGAUAAGAGAUGUGGCUUGGAAGCCUGAAUUUGAUGAAGAUGAUUUAAAAAGAAAGAAACUUUAAUUAAAGUCUACAAAGGUCAUUGAGUCCUAACAUCAGAUAAUGGUGAGAUUAUAAAACAGAUGGCAAAUGUCCCCAAGAAGAACAGAAGCAGCGGCCUGGAAGAAAGAAAAACGAUACUGUUAACAAAGUGAAACUACACUUAUCAGAAGUACUGCAUUAUGCCUGAAGUCUAAGUGGGAAGGAAGAAAUGGCCAGGCCCUCUUGGUCUGUAAAACUUGUGGGUUUUUUCCUACUAUCAUUAAAACCCCAAAACAAACAAAGUAAGAAACCUUGGGUGAACAAAGCAGUGUAAUA